UUACGACCACAUCAUGUUUAAACACUUGUUCCCGUAUAAUCACCGAAGUUAAGCUACAUCGACCUUGAUUUGUUCCCGGAUGGGUGACCUCUUGGGAAUAAAAGGUGCUGU